GGGUUGUGAGGUUAAGCGACUAAGCGUACACGGUGGAUGCCCUGGCAGUCAGAGGCGAUGAAGGACGUGCUAAUCUGCGAUAAGCGCCGGUAAGGUGAUAUGAACCGUUAUAACCGGCGAUUUCCGAAUGGGGAAACCCAGUGUGAUUCGUCACACUAUCAUUAACUGAAUCCAUAGGUUAAUGAGGCGAACCGGGGGAACUGAAACAUCUAAGUACCCCGAGGAAAAGAAAUCAACCGAGAUUCCCCCAGUAGCGGCGAGCGAACGGGGAGGAGCCCAGAGCCUGAAUCAGCAUGUGUGUUAGUGGAAGCGUCUGGAAAGGCGCGCGAUACAGGGUGACAGCCCCGUACACAAAAGCGCAUGUGCUGUGAGCUCGAUGAGUAGGGCGGGACACGUGGUAUCCUGUCUGAAUAUGGGGGGACCAUCCUCCAAGGCUAAAUACUCCUGACUGACCGAUAGUGAACCAGUACCGUGAGGGAAAGGCGAAAAGAACCCCGGCGAGGGGAGUGAAAAAGAACCUGAAACCGUGUACGUACAAGCAGUGGGAGCNGUGACUGCGUACCUUUUGUAUAAUGGGUCAGCGACUUAUAUUCUGUAGCAAGGUUAACCGAAUAGGGGAGCCGGAGGGAAACCGAGUCUUAAUUGGGCGUUAAGUUGCAGGGUAUAGACCCGAAACCCGGUGAUCUAGCCAUGGGCAGGUUGAAGGUUGGGUAACACUAACUGGAGGACCGAACCGACUAAUGUUGAAAAAUUAGCGGAUGACCUGUGGCUGGGGGUGAAAGGCCAAUCAAACCGGGAGAUAGCUGGUUCUCCCCGAAAGCUAUUUAGGUAGCGCCUCGUGAAUUCAUCUCCGGGGGUAGAGCACUGUUUCGGCUAGGGGGCCAUCCCGGCUUACCAACCCGAUGCAAACUGCGAAUACCGGAGAAUGUUAUCACGGGAGACACACGGCGGGUGCUAACGUCCGUCGUGAAGAGGGAAACAACCCAGACCGCCAGCUAAGGUCCCAAAGUCAUGGUUAAGUGGGAAACGAUGUGGGAAGGCCCAGACAGCCAGGAUGUUGGCUUAGAAGCAGCCAUCAUUUAAAGAAAGCGUAAUAGCUCACUGGUCGAGUCGGCCUGCGCGGAAGAUGUAACGGGGCUAAACCAUGCACCGAAGCUGCGGCAGCGACACUCAGGUGUUGUUGGGUAGGGGAGCGUUCUGUAAGCCUGCGAAGGUGGCCUGUGAGGGUUGCUGGAGGUAUCAGAAGUGCGAAUGCUGACAUAAGUAACGAUAAAGCGGGUGAAAAGCCCGCUCGCCGGAAGACCAAGGGUUCCUGUCCAACGUUAAUCGGGGCAGGGUGAGUCGACCCCUAAGGCGAGGCCGAAAGGCGUAGUCGAUGGGAAACGGGUUAAUAUUCCCGUACUUGGUGUUACUGCGAAGGGGGGACGGAGAAGGCUAUGUUGGCCGGGCGACGGUUGUCCCGGUUUAAGCGUGUAGGUGUGUGUUCCAGGUAAAUCCGGUUCACUUUAACACUGAGGCGUGAUGACGAGGCACUACGGUGCUGAAGCAACAAAUGCCCUGCUUCCAGGAAAAGCCUCUAAGCAUCAGGUAACAUCAAAUCGUACCCCAAACCGACACAGGUGGUCAGGUAGAGAAUACCAAGGCGCUUGAGAGAACUCGGGUGAAGGAACUAGGCAAAAUGGUGCCGUAACUUCGGGAGAAGGCACGCUGACANGGAGCUGAAGUCAGUCGAAGAUACCAGCUGGCUGCAACUGUUUAUUAAAAACACAGCACUGUGCAAACACGAAAGUGGACGUAUACGGUGUGACGCCUGCCCGGUGCCGGAAGGUUAAUUGAUGGGGUCAGCGCAAGCGAAGCUCCUGAUCGAAGCCCCGGUAAACGGCGGCCGUAACUAUAACGGUCCUAAGGUAGCGAAAUUCCUUGUCGGGUAAGUUCCGACCUGCACGAAUGGCGUAAUGAUGGCCAGGCUGUCUCCACCCGAGACUCAGUGAAAUUGAACUCGCUGUGAAGAUGCAGUGUACCCGCGGCAAGACGGAAAGACCCCGUGAACCUUUACUAUAGCUUGACACUGAACAUUGAGCCUUGAUGUGUAGGAUAGGUGGGAGGCUUUGAAGCGUGGACGCCAGUCUGCGUGGAGCCGACCUUGAAAUACCACCCUUUAAUGUUUGAUGUUCUAACGUGGACCCGU
rnacentral:rRNA from 1 species